ACAAUAUUUUGCUGCCCAUAUUUUUCCUGGUUGUUAACAAUAUUGUUCACCCUGAAUAAUGCUGAACAAUAUUGUUAACAACCAUGAACAAUAUGGGCAGCAAAAUAUUGUUC
rnacentral:miRNA from 1 species